ACAUAUGUUCAUACAAACAUGUCUACAUAUGUACAUACACACAAACAUGUCUAAACAGGUAUACACACACAAGCAAAGGUCUCAUAGCUUUUACCCUGGGAUUCUAACCAUAAAGUAACAGUCCACACUCAGUAUUUUAUAAAAAAUAGCUGGAUACACGUUAUCGUCUGACAAAACUGGAACCUGUUUCCAUGGCUAAAUUGUGUUUUCUCCAAUAUAUACUCUAUGAAAGCUGUGAACCAAAAUUUGAGUAAAGCAAUCUUUAUGGCACUUUUGUUUUUAAAAAAGCAUCUUUUACCUUUUUUUUUCCUUCAGUUUUAAACAAGUUUCCUGUUUUUGCUUUCCAGUUAGUCAGUAAAUAAUGUGUCUUAUCACAGCACCAACAGCUUAGUAACAGCCAAUCUGAAGCAGGCAGAAAAGAAAACAGAGGAAGAAAGAGGUUUUGAUGACUCUGCUUCACUUAAUAGCUGCAGUUAACCAUUUGAGCUGUCAAGUUUUCUUGCUAUAGUUUGCCUCUCUGUUUAAAAUGUUCACAAAAGUAGGUCUUAAUAAGUAGCCAGCUGAAAUCCCAAAGAGAAUGAGAAUAUGAAGUUCCUGCCAGGCCUCUGCAAAGGAGGGAAAGAGAAAAAGAUAGAAAAGGAGGUUUGUGAACCUUCUAGCUGCUGCAUGGUAUAGGGUUGGUAUCCCCACCACUCUUGCUGACAUCCCAUCAGGGAGAGCCCCAGUACCCUGGACAUGCACAGUGUGAGACGAAUCCCUCCCACCUUUGCAAGUCAUGGGCAAAGGAAACUGUUUACAGCUGGCGAGAGCUAGGGGUACCUUUGACUGAGAUGAGUAAGGCUGUAGGUGGCUUCCAAGAUAAUCAGGAAGAUGAAGUUGAAAGUGAAAAGGAUAGGAAGAGACCAGGGCCCACACUCAAAGGUCAUACACUCACACUUACAAACAAAUGGUGAGCUUCCAAACAAACCCCAGUUAAGGGCUGGGUAGAAUCCUGAAUUUCUUUCCUCUGUUCAAAACAGCUCCACAGGUAUCUGAAACCAAGUGGAGCGAUGUCCAGGAGUGCCACAAAUUCAAAUCCGUCAAACACUCAAGUGAUAGUCCCGUUAGUGGACAAGACGAAACAGCAGAGCCCCAGCGACACCCCAGAAGACACGGGAAAGCUGGGUGCAAUCCGACCAGCUCACUUGGUUGCAAGGGUUGCCAGCUUCUUCAGAGAUCACAUUCUUUGUACCAGCAAAGUGUCGAUGGCUGCAGAAGUUGUGCGAUGAAGUGAAAGGGAGGGUCUAGGAAAUGAAAGAUUUUCAGCAGCCACUUGGAAGUUCCCUAACAUUCCUGCCAUGGGGUCCGCUAGCCUUCAGCUGCUGGUACUCACAGGUAACCCUCCGCCUUGGUAGCAAAACCAGGCUCACAGGCUUGGGUUGCCCAGAGCAUAUAAUGCUCCCCAUAUGGGCCACCAAAUUUGUUACCAAACACAGGUUUGGCCACUUGUCACUGACACUAUCAAAUAACAAGCAUGAGGGUGGUAAAAAGAAAGUGACUUUAUUUCACAGUUUAGCAAUGGAGAAGAACCAGGUUCGUACCUAAAGGAGCCGCUUCAGUUUUCUGGGAAGAAAGCAGGGUUUUAAGAAGAGAAACUUUCUUAUGCAGGGCGUGCAAGGAACAUGGAGGUGCGGGGUCUAUGUGUCUUGCUGUAAAACUUAGCUAAGAGGUCAUUGGUUAGUCUGACCAGUGUCAUUGAGGACAGAGUCGGAAUGUGGAUUAACUCUUGUCUUGAGACAGGCUCCCUGUGAGGGAGAAUUCUGGAUGGUGCCGCUUCCAUUCAACAUUUGGUCCUUAGAAUUUCUAAGGAAACAUACUUAGAUAAGCUGGCAGUCCUUGCAGGUUGUUUCACUGGUGGAAACGAAGGAAGGAAAAGGUUAAAUUUGCCUUUCUAAGGAGCUAAGCAAGAGGUGAACAGUGAGAAAGAGAAAAAAUACACAGGUAAUUUUUAGGAAAAUGCUAUACUGGAUUACAAUUUGACAUAAUUUCACUGUGUCUAAAGAGCCACCCUGUACUUCAUGCAAACUACACAGCCUGUGGCAUUCAUGGAGUGACGAACAGAGAAAAAAAUAGUUUUGAAGUGCAAAGGUAACUGGAGAUUUUUUUAAGGAAAAUCAGUGAAGGAAGAAACCUUUAUUGGCUUCUCCUUUUGGUGAGAAAUGUUGUCUUAUAAGUAGACAAUUGUACUUUAAUUAUUUCAUAAUGUAGUGAUUUUACCAGCCACAACUAGCAGCAUAACAUAGGAAAGGCAGGUUGGUGUCCACACAGGGUCAUUAAUCUACCUAAUAAACCAUUUACUUUAUUUCUAAAAAUAUCCUUCAUCCUUGGACUUGAUGCAGGAUCACUGAGUCAUGGAAAACUUUGUGUUUUUGUAGUCAUACAUGAGAUGAAAGCAUAAAGGUGAAUUAUUCUUUGUUAAAGAAUUCAUUUAAAUUACUUUUCUUUGUAUCUUUGCUUUUUGUUUCUGUACUGCUCCAGUACUCCUGUGAACCAUGUCUGAGUGGAGUAAUGAUGGCACCACAGUCCAGCCUGCAUGGGUAUUGGCCUGAGUGCUCCCCCCUCAUGAAAUUCAGCCACCUCUUUCUCCAGUCAGUUCUAUCUUCUCAACUCCGACUGUCUUCCAGAGUCCGUGUCACACCACAGCCUGGAAACUCUCCCCAAGCAGUAACCUGAGGCAACAGUAAACCCUCAUUGUUUCGCCUCUCUCGGAUGUCACUGUCCUUCAUUGUUUGAUGUGCACUGUCUUGCAAUCCAUCCUUCCAGAUGAAUCAUCCAUUUUUAAAUGUGAUAUGCCAUGUCCAAUCCCCAUAAGUUUUACCACAACAUUUUGUUUCAUUCUUCCUGCAGUUACUCCAUCAUUACUGUACCACCGCCUAUAUGGAUGUAGUUGUCAGUGUGAAGCUGAGUAAGGAACAACGUGCACCAGACUCACAGAGAAAAAUGGACAAGCGAGCUGGCCUUUGUAUCACUAAAGGGAAGUACUCCCGUGAACCAUGUCUGAGUGGAGUAAUGAUGGCACCACAGUCCAGCCUGCAUGGGUGUUGGCCUGAGUGCUCCCGCCUCAUGAAAUUCAGCCACCUCUUUCUCCAGUCAGUUCCAUCUUCUCAACUCCGACUGUCUUCCAGAGUCCGUGUCACACCACAGCCUGGAAACUCUCCCCAAGCAGUAACCUGAAGCAACAUUACUCCAUCAUUACUGUACCACCGCCUAUAUGGAUGUAGUUGUCAGUGUGAAGCUGAGUAAGGAACAACGUGCACCAGACUCACAGAGAAAAAUGGACAAGCGAGCUGGCCUUUGUAUCACUAAAGGGAAGGUUUGGAAUAAUUCAUCAGUGUAAUCUUCUCAACCUGGUCAAUCACAUGAACUUAGAAGAUGAUUCCUCCCCAGCUGAUCCUUCAGGUGAGACCUCAGCCUUUGCAGUCAUCUACAUGUAGAUUCCUGACCCAGAGAAACUGUGAGUAAUUUGUGUG